rnacentral:rRNA from 1 species
UCAAGCUAAUAAGAGCACAAGGUGAAUGCCUUGGCAUCAGGAGCCGAAGAAGGACGCGACAAGCUGCGAUAAGCUGCGGUCAGCUGCAAAUAAGCUCAGCCGCAGAUUUCCGAAUGGGGCAACCCCCAUGAUGAAUAGUCAUGGAUCAUGCACUGAAUCAAUAGGUGCAUGAGGGGAACCCGGGGAAGUGAAACAUCUAAGUACCCGGAGGAAGAGAAAUCAAAAGAGAUUCCGAAAGUAGUGGCGAGCGAAAUCGGAAGAGGCCAAACCGGAAGUAGUAAUACAGCCGGGGUUCGGACCGAUAUAAGCACUUCAAAGUAUAGCCGAACGGGAUGGGAAGCCCGACCAGAGACGGUGAGAGUCCGGUAAGCGAAAUACGAAGAAGGUGAUCGGUAUCCAGAGUACCAUCGGACACGUGGAAUCCGAUGGGAAGACGGGGGGACCAUCCUCCAAGCCUAAAUACUACCUGAUGACCGAUAGUGGAGAAGUACCGUGAGGGAAAGGUGAAAAGUACCCCGGGAGGGGAGUGAAAUAGUACCUGAAACCUUGUGUUUACAAGCACACAAAAAGCGUUAAAGCUUGAUGUGGUACUUUUUGUAGAACGGUCCGGCGAGUUUAUGUAUGCAGCGAGGUUAAGCACUUCAGGUGCGAAGCCGAAGGGAAACCGAGUGUGAAUAGCGCGUUAAGUUGCAUGUAUAAGACCCGAAACCGGGUGACCUAUCCAUGUGCAGGUUGAAGUUCAGGUAAAACUGAAUGGAGGACCGAACCGACCCCCGUUGAAAAGUUGGCGGAUGACGUGUGGAUAGCGGAGAAAUUCCAAUCGAACCCGGAUAUAGCUGGUUCUCCCCGAAAUAGCUUUAGGGCUAGCCUCAUAUAUGUUUACCGGAGGUAAAGCACUGAAUAGCCUAGGGGUCGAGAGACUACCGAAGCUUAUCAAACUAAGAAUGCCGGAUAAACGAGUAUGGGAGUCAGACUACGUGAGAUAAGUCUCGUGGUCAAAAGGGAAACAGCCCAGAUCUACAGCUAAGGUCCCAAAUGUAUACUAAGUGGAAAAGGAUGUGGCAAUGCUAAGACAACCAGGAUGUUGGCUUAGAAGCAGCCACUCAUUAAAAGAGUGCGUAAUAGCUCACUGGUCGAGUGAUGCUGCGCCGAAGAUUUAACGGGGCUAAGUAUACAACCGAAGCUUAGGCAGUAAUAAUACUGGGUAGGGGAGCGUUCUCAUUGGGGUGAAGUCAGAGCGAAAGCACUGGUGGACUGAUGAGAAGUGAGAAUGCCGGAAUGAGUAGCGAGAAUUGCGUGAGAAUCGUAAUGGCCGAAUAUCUAAGGUUUCCAGGGGUAGGUUCGUCCUCCCUGGGUCAGCCGGGAGCUAAGCUCAGGCCGAAAGGCGUAGGCGAUGCACACACGGUGGAGAUUCCGUGGCCUCUGAAGCUGUUAAAUAUACUGACACAUUACCGUAGCUUUACCGGGCGUUGGUUGCCCCGGGCGUAAGCCACUGAAAUCAAGUAGGGAAGUAAGUCAAGGUGAUGGCGAGAAAAGGUAUAUGGAUUGGCAAAGAGCCCGUACCGCAAACCGACACAGGUAGAUGAGGAGAGAAUCCUAAGGCCGACGGGAGAAGGGUUGUUAAGGAACUCGGCAUAUUGACCCCGUAACUUCGGAAUAAGGGGUGCCUCGUGAAAACGAGGUCGCAGUGAAAUGGCCCAGGCGACUGUUUACCAAAAACACAGGUCUCUGCUAAACCGUAAGGUGAUGUAUAGGGGCUGACGCCUGCCCGGUGCCGGAAGGUCAAGGGGAUCACUUAGAGCAAUCGAAGGUGAGAACUUAAGCCCCGGUAAACGGCGGCCGUAACUAUAACGGUCCUAAGGUAGCGAAAUUCCUUGUCAGGUAAGUUCUGACCCGCACGAAAGGCGUAACGAUCUGGGCACUGUCUCAACAGCCCGCCCGGCGAAAUUGUAGUACCGGUGAAGAUGCCGGUUACCCGCGACUAGACGGAAAGACCCCAUGGAGCUUUACUGUAGCUUGAUACUGAGAUUCGGUGAAUUAUGCACAGGAUAGGUGGGAGACUGUGAAACAGGUGCUUCGGCGCUUGCGGAGUCGCUGUUGGGAUACCACUCUUGAUUCACUGGAUUUCUAACCUGCGGCCGUGAAUCCGGCCGGGGGACAAUGUCAGGUGGGCAGUUUGACUGGGGCGGUCGCCUCCAAAAGAGUAACGGAGGCGUUCAGAG